rnacentral:lncRNA from 1 species
GACGUGUGUUAGGAAGCUACAAUGGCAGCUCCCUAGUGGAGGUGUUUCGGAAAAACUCCGAAGAUUCCACUUGAGAAAAUCAUCGGCCUUCAGACAACGUCUAUGCCAGAUAAUGCUACCAAAUCACAACCUUGCCUUUCCUCCCUACUGCUGUUCUGAUGUGGGAGGACCCAAAGGCAGCAGAAGAGCCAAAGAAGAGUAGCAGAAAGGCAUAUCCACAGCUCUUCAAAUAAGCAAUGUGAUGUUAGCAAAAGUGCAGGGGCUCCUUGAGAACUUUCCAGGGCUAACCAGCUGCUGAGGAGUGGCCUCCAGGAAAGAGAGAAGCACUCUGAUUCAGGCAGUGAUUUACACCUAAAAUACCAACUCCAUCAUAUCUUCAGAACAAUUCUUCUAGACCUUGCAUCUAAAUAUGGAGUCAUUAACUAACAACGAACAAAACCUCUGGAUGGCCGAAGGACCUAGGCUAUACAGAAAGCUGUGAAUUACCAAUGAGAACGCAGCACUGCUGCUGUACUGAGAAUACAGCUGUGAACAACAUCCCUGUCGCUUUCGUUCUAGAGAGGAAAAACAGGUUUUGGUAUCAGGAUGAUGCUGGCCUCAUAAAAUGAGUUAGGAGGAGUCUCUCUUUUUCUACGAUUUGGAAUAGUUACAGAAGGAAUGGUAUCAGCUCCUCUUUGUACCUCUGGUGGAAUUCAACUGUGAAUCCAUCUGGUCCUGGGCUUUUUUUAGUUGG